GAUGAACGCUGGCGGCGUGCCUAAUACAUGCGAGUCGAGCGAACGGACGAGAAGCUUGCUUCUCUGAUGUUAGCGGCGGACGGGUGAGUAACACGUGGAUAACCUACCUAUAAGACUGGGAUAACUUCGGGAAACCGGAGCUAAUACCGGAUGAUAUUUUGAACCGCAUGGUUCAAAAGUGAAAGACGGUCUUGCUGUCACUUAUAGAUGGAUCCGCGCUGCAUUAGCUAGUUGGUAAGGUAACGGCUUACCAAGGCAACGAUGCAUAGCCGACCUGAGAGGGUGAUCGGCCACACUGGAACUGAGACACGGUCCAGACUCCGACGGGAGGCAGCAGUAGGGAAUCUUCCGCAAUGGGCGAAAGCCUGACGGAGCAACGCCGCGUGAGUGAUGAAGGUCUUAGGAUCGUAAAACUCUGUUAUUAGGGAAGAACAUAUGUGUAAGUAACUGUGCACAUCUUGACGGUACCUAAUCAGAAAGCCACGGCUAACUACGUG
rnacentral:rRNA from 1 species